rnacentral:rRNA from 1 species
GUUUCCGUAGGUGAACCUGCGGAAGGAUCAUUAACGAAUUGUACUGGGAGUUUGAUGCUGGCAAAGGAGGAAAUGCCUUUGCAUGUGCUUGCUUCUAACAAUUUUUAUCCAAACACCUGUGCACCCUUUGAAGGGAGAUUGAUCUUUUAUGAAAUUUCUCUCUUCGUUUUUCUUAUCCACGCUAGUUUUAAUAUGGGGAUGUGCUUGUGCCCUUAAUAAGGGCAUUGAACAAAUACAACUUUUAACAACGGAUCUCUUGGCUCUUGCAUCGAUGAAGAACGCAGCGAAAUGCGAUAAGUAAUGUGAAUUGCAGAAUUCAGUGAAUCAUCGAAUCUUUGAACGCACCUUGCGCUCCCUGGUAUUCCGGGGAGCACACCUGUUCGAGUGUCUUGAAAUUGUCAAGCCAAGGUACUUUUGUUUAGGAAAGUGGCUUCUGGUUUGGUUAUUGGGCUCUGCCGUGUCCUGCAAUUGGAGGGAUGGCUGGCCUUAAAAGCAUUAGCUGACUUUGAUAUAACAUUGGACAAUCUACUCGGCGUAUUAAUGAUACACAGACCGCAGAGGAUGUUGUUAUGUUGGGUUGCUUUCUAAUCUGGUAUUAGUGAUUCUC